UGCCAGGUUUAAAGGGAUAGCUCAGUGGGUAGAGCAUGAGACGUUUGAUCUCAGGGUUGUGGGUUCAUGCCCCACGCUGGGUAA